CACAUUUUCAAUUACAACCUUUUAUAUCAAGCAUGUCAGUCAACACUCUACAGUAUAAAAUAACACACACAAACCACUUAAUUGAACACAACAGAUUUAUAUCAAGUAUAAGAAAACAUUUAUAAAUAUGUUUAUAUUUAUUAAAAAUAUAUCUGUAAAGAUUUCAUGCCCUGAAAUUGUAGGUUUCUAUAACAUUAACUCUUAAAAUAAUGUUUGUUUUUGGUCCUUAUUGUAUACCGUAUGUGUAAAAAUGAACUGAUUUGAGACAAAUUUGUCCUGCUAGGCACUUCAUAGAUAUCUAGUACAGACUGUCUUAUAUUACCAAAAUUAGGUAUUAGGGGAAACCGGAUGUUUAAACCUAAAGUAUAUAAAAACUGUGUCUAAAAAAAAAAAUAUAUUUAAGUAAAGAUAUCCAUCGCAAAUCAAACCUGCUUUAAUAGAGUGUAUUGUUGCAAACAUUAACUUAAUCUUUUAGGACUUCCCAUGGGAUCCAAAGCAAAGGUAAAGCCUAGAAUCUUGUUUUCCUCCUCAAAACCUCCAUAUGCUGACAUCACAAUUUACCGGUUUUGCUCCACUUGAGGCAUUUUUGCAACUUUUGCUUACAGGAGAAACCGUUCACAUCUUUAUACAAGGCUGCCUAAGUAGCAGGUAUAAAAUGCCAGAAUUGGGUUUCAGAGGCUUUGUUUCUGCCAUAAUAUCCCGCUAGAAAAAUAUCAAACCCUUUGAAGCCUUGCCAAACCACUUUCACGAAGUAAGAUAUUUCCUCUUUUAAAUUUGUCUCCACUUUCACGAAGUAAGAGAUAUUUCCUCUUUAAAAUUUGUCUCCAUUUGUACAAAAUGACAUUUCUUGUUCCAUAUAACAUUCCAAAAAUGUUGUCAUGUAUAAACCAUCCAACUACUUUCCAUAGGCCAUCCUAAAACAUACUUAUAUGUUCUAAUUUUAUUUUACCACAUAUACCUUUUUAUUCAUUACUGUUGCUUCAGAACAGCUCUUCCCUACAAGUUAACCUGGGAUCCUUUGUGAUCCCCACCCCCAAUUACUUGCCCAUUUGAGAGCAGGAAGGAGACAGUCCCAGACGGUGUGGUAAGUAGGUCCCACGAUUGUCAUAAUAUUAGGCUUUGGAGAUAUAACAUUUUUUUUGGAGGGUGGGGAGAGGUGGCAGGGAACGCCUCGUUUUGCCACAAAGCUCCCAGGUUUACCAAACCCCUGUCACAUUUCCUAACACUUUCUCCUCUUUAAUCAUUUUACGUCUUCCUGUUCCCUCUGUAUUUUGAAAUAGCUGUAUUGUGACAUACAAUGACUUAGCAACUCCCACUGUUUUACAUCCUCUUGUUUAUUAUUUGUUGCACCAUGGCUUUUAGCAAUCUACUGAUAUUGCUUAGUGUUCAAAACAAAAAGAUUUACCAAAGAGUUGGAUAGUUUAGAAUGACCCGGUGAAAGAGCUUUCUAAGAAGGCAGUGAGAAGUAGUUCAUAUAAUGGGUAUACUUGAUGCAAGAGAAAAAGAAACAGAACUUCCGUACGUUUUGAUUCAGUGUUUGACAGCCAAUCAGAAAUGAAAUACUAAAAUAUUAACAUGACAUAGCUGUAAACAUUCCCUUUUGCAUCCUGCAGCUCCGUAUUUAAUUUCCGUUUGCCCUUUGUAAAAAAAUAUUUUCUACUGUUAUUCAAUGUAAUAAACUAUUUGCAAUGGGAGAUAUUAAUUAUGCCGCUAACUCUUUAACCUUUACGGGUAAAAACUUCUAAUUUGUUUGUAUCGAAGACAAAAAUCUAAGUCAAAAGUAAAGUUGCAUCAACAGUUGUAAGUAGUAACAGCUGAUACGAAUAGUCACGUAAAUUCCAUAUACUAGGUGAAUAAUUACGUCCACUCUAUAACUGCAAAUUUGUUCAUGCUGGUGCACAUUUCCAAACAAGAUCAUUGUUUAGUCCCAUGACUAAACUCUGCAACUCAUUUUCUUCUUGAUGGUGUAUAACAAAUGGAGCUACAGAUCUCCAUAGUAGAGUCCAGACAAAAUUCCACUCAUCCCGUGUUCAACAGGCUUUUACGUAUCGUUUGUGGUAUCUUUGGAAAGUGCCCCAUGUGCAAUCUUCUUGCUCUGAAAAGUCAGGUGCUAAUAUUACUCUAAAUGGAAGAGUCUCGUACCAAAUGCCCAUUGUCAGCCAAUAUUCUCCUCUCCGUAUUUGUUGACUUAACUGAAGGCGAGUAUUUUGACCCCCUGUUGCAGCAGAAGCAUAGGAUGCGCUUGAAGGUAAUCCUCAUCUCAUUGUCUCGAUAGGAGUAUACAAUAGGAUUAAUGACAGAGUUUAUCUCAGCAAGGAGAAGGAAAUAUUUCUCAACAGCCAGGACAUUACACUGGGUGCAUCCAAGACCAUCCAAGAGGAGGACAACUUGACCAGGGGUCCAACAAAUCACAAAGGCAC
rnacentral:lncRNA from 1 species